AGGGCCUUAGGUUAACAAACAGACCAAGAGCCUUCAAAGCCCUCAGUGGGAGUGAAAAUCUCUCAGGCCCUG
rnacentral:tRNA from 1 species